AGAGAUGUGUGAUGACGCAUAUCAAUAAGCGGAGGAAAAGAAAACUAACAAGGAUUCCCCUUAGUAACGGCGAGUGAAGCGGGAAGAGCUCAAAUUUGAAAUCUUCAAGGGUUCUACCUUGACGAAUUGUAGUUUAAAGAAGUGUUUUCUGUUAGUGGAGGUGGUCAAAAGUUCUUUGGAAUAGGACAUCAUAGAGGGUGAGAAUCCCGUAUUUGAUCAUUCUUUCUAACGUUGUGAUACACUUUCAACGAGUCGGAUUGUUUGGGAAUGCAGUCCAAAAUGGGUGGUAAAUUUCAUCUAAAGCUAAAUAUUGGCGAGAGACCGAUAGCGAACAAGUACCGUGAGGGAAAGAUGAAAAGAACUUUGAAAAGAGAGUUAAACAGUACGUGAAAUUGUCAAAAGGGAAGCGUUUGACACCAGUGUUGUUUUUUCCGAAAAUCAAUUACUGAAUGGUUUGAUUUUUAGAGUUUCAUGACCUUCAAUCGGCUUGCUUCUCUCUUUAUGUACUUUCUUAAUGCACUUUUCGGUUAACAAGUCAACAUCAAUUUCUCUUUGUUGUAAAAGAGUCAGAUGGAAGGUGGCUUUCUUUUCGGAGAAAGUGUUUAUAGCCUUUGGCUUCUGCAAUCGGAGAGAUUGAGGUCUGCAGCGUAGAUCCUUCGGGGUUAGAUGCAUUUGUGCUAAGUUAUAGCCUUUCAUAGACAACUUGUUGACUAUGAUCAGUCAUGUAGCUUACUCGCUUAUGUCAUUUUACCUACGCUUAGGAUGUUGAAGAUGUAGCACAUCAU
rnacentral:rRNA from 1 species